rnacentral:rRNA from 1 species
UAUCUCUGUAGAGUCUGCAUAUCAAUAAGCGGAGGAAAAGAAACUAACAAGGAUUCCCUUAGUAACGGCGAGUGAAGCGGGAAGAGCUCAAAUUUGAAAUCUUCAAGGUUCUACCUUGACGAAUUGUAGUUUAAAGGAAGUGUUUUCUGUUAGAUGAGUAGCAAAAGUUCCUUGGAAUAGGGACAUCAUAGAGGGUGAGAAUCCCGUAUUUGACCUUAUUCAUUCUAGCGUUGUGAUACACUUUCAAAGAGUCGGAUUGUUUGGGAAUGCAGUCCAAAAUGGGUGGUAAAUUUCAUCUAAAGCUAAAUAUUGGCGAGAGACCGAUAGCGAACAAGUACCGUGAGGGAAAGAUGAAAAGAACUUUGAAAAGAGAGUUAAACAGUACGUGAAAUUGUCAAAAGGGAAGCGUUUAACACCAGUGUUGUUUUUCCGAAAAUCAAUUACGAAUGGCUUGAUUUUGUGUUGUAUUGACCUUAUCAGCUUUCUGCACUUUUUUCGAGUCUUUCUUAAUGCACUUUUCGGUUAACAAGUCAACAUCAAUUUCUUUUGUUGUAAAAGAGUAUUCGGAAGGUGGCUUUCUUUUCGGAGAAAGUGUUUAUAGCCCUAUACUUCUACAAUCGGAGAGAUUGAGGUCUGCAGCGUAGAUCCUUCGGGGUUAGAUACAUUUGUGCUAAGUUGUAGCUUUUCAUAGACAACUUGUUGACUAUGUUUAGUCAUGCGGCUUACUCGCUUAUGCUAUUUUACCUACGCUUAGGAUGUUGACUGAUAUGUAGUCGU